rnacentral:rRNA from 1 species
GCGUUGUCCGGAAUCAUUGGGCGUAAAGCGCGUGUAGGCGGCCCGAUAAGUCCGCUGUGAAAGUCCAGGGCUCAACCCUGGGAUGCCGGUGGAUACUGUCGGGCUCGAGUCCGGAAGAGGCGAGUGGAAUUCCUGGUGUAGCGGUGAAAUGCGCAGAUAUCAGGAGGAACACCAAUGGCGAAGGCAGCUCGCUGGGACGUGACUGACGCUGAGACGCGAAAGCGUGGGGAGCAAACAGG